AUUGAACGCUGGCGGAAUGCUUUACACAUGCAAGUCGAGCGGCAGCGCGGGGCAACCUGGCGGCGAGCGGCGAACGGGUGAGUAAUGCAUCGGAACAUGUCCAUGUCGUGGGGGAUAGCCCGGCGAAAGCCGGAUUAAUACCGCAUACGCCCUGAGGGGGAAAGUGGGGGACCGCAAGGCCUCACGCGAUUGGGUUGGCCGAUGUCCGAUUAGCUAGUUGGCGGGGUAAGAGCCCACCAAGGCGAUGAUCGGUAGCUGGUCUGAGAGGAUGAUCAGCCACACUGGGACUGAGACACGGCCCAGACUCCUACGGGAGGCAGCAGUGGGGAAUUUUGGACAAUGGGGGAAACCCUGAUCCAGCCAUUCCGCGUGAGUGAAGAAGGCC
rnacentral:rRNA from 1 species